rnacentral:sRNA from 1 species
UUGACUUGAAAAUGAGAACGAUUAUUAUUGAUCGCAACUGGUCGCGAGACUGGUUGGAUAACCCGGAGCCCUUAGGUCGGACUCCAGAUUAUCUCCUCAUCAGGCUAAUCACGGUUUUUGACCCGGCUUUUUGCCGGGUCUUUUUUUU